CCUACGGGUGGCAGCAGUGAGGAAUAUUGGUCAAUGGGCGUAAGCCUGAACCAGCCAAGUCGCGUGAGGGAUGAAGGUUCUAUGGAUCGUAAACCUCUUUUAUAAGGUAAUAAAGUGUGGGACGUGUCCUAUUUUGUAUGUACCUUAUGUAUAAGGAUCGGCUAACUACGUGCCAGCAGCCGCGCUAAUACGGAGGAUCCGAGCGUUAUCCGGACUUAUUGGGUUUAAAGGGUGCGUAGGCGGCCUUUUAAGUCAGCGGUGAAAGUCUGUGGCUCAACCAUAGAAUUGCCGUUGAAACUGGGGGGCUUGAGUAUGUAUGAGGAAGGGGGAAUGCGUGGUGUAGCGGUGAAAUGCUUAGAUAUCACGAAGAACCCCGAUUGCGAAGGCAGCCUGCCAAGCCAUGACUGACGCUGAUGCACGAAAGCGUGGGGAUCAAACAGGAUUAGAUACCCGUGUAGUC
rnacentral:rRNA from 1 species